UCUCAAAAAGUUAAUUUUUUAUCUUCUGGGCCUUUUUUUAAUAAUUUUGUUUCUUAAAAUACAUUAAUAGUACUGUUUUAUUGCACAAAUAUGUUUUUUCAUUAAAUCUUUAAAAUUAUAUUGUGCUUAUAUAAAUAUUUGUCAUUUUUUUUCUGAUAAUCUGAAAAAUUUGUGAUUAGUGAGGAGCAAGCAUGGUGAUGAAAACCUAUGGUCUUAGUACUUGAGAGGCUAAGGUAGACAGAGAAUUCAAGACCAGCCUAGGAAACAUAGUGAGAUGGGGGUGUGUGGGGGGGGUUAAUGAUUAGUGAAAUGUAAUUUUGAUACUGAAAGAUGGCACAUAUCUAGCAUCUAGUUAAUGCUCUUUAUUGAAUGAAGAGCAUUUUUUUUUUUUUUUUUUUUUUGAGAUGAGAACUCACUAUGUAGCAUAGGCUGGUCUACAAUUUGAGGCAGUCCUGCCUGUGCCUCUCAAGGACUGAGAUUGUAAGCAUGCACCACAAAGCCCAGGUUAAUGUUGUCUUAAAGUUGGAUAACUUUUUGUUAUAUGUUUUGGAACUUUUUUUUUUGGGGGGGGGGUCUUUUUCCUUUUUUAUCGGUACCGGGGAUCGAACUCACGACUGCCUGCUUGCAAGGCAGGUGCUUAUGCUACUGAGCGAAACCCCCAACCCCUGGAACUUUUUAAACUGGUCACCAAGUAUUCUAUGAAAAUGACAAAAUAGCAACUAUUAGUGACAAUAUGGAGAAAUUGAAGCUUUUGUUUUUCUUAACGGGAGUGUAAAAUGGUACAGCAUGUUUGGAAAAUAGUUUGGUAGUAUCCUCAAAAGUUAAACAUAAAUUUGGUAUGUGAUCUGCUCCUGGGUACAUAUAGAUGGUGCUCAAUUUGUGAUGGUUCAACUUAAUGAUUUUUCACCUUCACAUAGGUAGGAAAAAGUACCCAUAAAACCAUCUAGCUUUUCAUUUUCAGUACAAUAUUACUGAAUUAUCUGUGAUGCACAAUAAACUAUUAUAAAAUUGUCUGUGAUUUUGCACAGCUAUAGGUUAAUCUAAGUGUUCCAAGCAUUGAAAAGCUAGGCUAAGCUGAUCUAUGAAGUUCAAUUGGUUCAACGUGUUAAAAACCUACAUUUAAAGUGAGAAUAAUUAGGUUAGAUCUUUAGAAAGUAGGACUGUGAAAAUGUUUUGGACAUAUUUAAAAAUCAUGCAUAUUUUUACGUUUUUAUUCUUUCAAUAAGUCUUUGUCCUCUGGAGUAAAACUAGUAUUUCUAAGUAAAAAUAUUAUGUUGUUUGUUAUUUUUAACUGAAAUUAUAAGAAAAAAUUUAAGGUCUUAGCAGAGUCACACAUUGAACAGUAUUCACAGUUUGCUUUGCUCUUAGGCAACAGCUUUCAUUUUAAGUUGAUCAUUUGUCCUCAAUAUAGAAUAUAUGUAUAUAUCCACAUAUAGAUACAAGCAUAAGAAUGAUGAAAUAUGCAGAAUAGAUCUGAAGUACCUGUAGCUAUCAUAUAAGUACAAUACAUUUAUUGCCAUUCAUUGAAAUAAACAGACUUUUAAAUCAGUAGUCAUUCUCAGGUGUGUACAUAGUGAGUUGAUAUGGUUCGUUAUUUUGGAAUUGAUGUGCAAAUUUGUCUGACUUGGAUUAAUGUAUAGUUGUUAUAGCUUAGUAUUAGAAUGCCCCAGGAGUCUCAUGUGUUUAGAGGUGGGUUUAGUAAUUGGAUCAUGGAGCAGGGGGUCUGUGUUUAUCAGUGAAUUGAUCCAUUUAUUGAGUUCAUAACAAAAUAUGUUGUUUAGGGGAUGGGGCAGAUUAUAAGAGGUAUGUCUUUAGGAAUUGCCUCUGUGGCAUUAUUUUCUUCUUCCCUUUUCUCUCUGUUCUUGGCUUCCAUGGGUUGAGCAGCAUUCCUUCACCAACUCCUUCUACUAUGCUGUGUCUGCCUUGGGGCCAGAUUACCAUGAACUGAAUACCCUAAAACUGGAGCUUCAAACGAGUCUGUUCAUCAAGAACCUUUUGAACUAGAUAAAGAAUACAACAACCAAGAAUCAACCCAAGUCAUUCCAGAAAUCUCUAACGUACUAGCUGGCUAAAGAAGUGGUAGAACUGUUGAAGAGCGGAACACACUAUGCUUGUUGGUAUUAGUAUGUACAUAACACAUACUAAUUCUUUUUAUUGCCUUCCCUACCUCUCCAUUCUUCCCACUUUGUCCAUCUUUUUGUCUUUCUCUUUGUCUGACUCUUCCAUGGGCAAAAGAUCUGUCUCCCUAGUUUUAUUUUGCUCUGUAUUUAUAUUUUGGGUUUCUCACACACAUGAAACCAUGUAAUAUUUAAGUUAUUUAAUCUGAUUUAUGUCAUUGAAAAUUAUUGUGUCAAGGUAUAUUCAUUUUCUUAAAGUGACUUAUUGAUAGACCUAUAGGCCACUUCUAGCAGCAGUAAAUUGUGCUGCUAUAAACAUAGGUGUGCAUGUAUCAUUCUAAUAUCAUGUCUUUACCACUUUUGAGAAGAUACCUAGAAAGGGAAGGCUGGGUCAAAUGGAGUUUCUAGUUUUAGUUUGUGAGACAUCGCUUUACUGAUAUCCAUAGUGAUUGCACUAGUAUACAUUCGCACAACAGUGUAGAAAUCCCCCAGCACCCUCACCAGCAUUUGUUAUUCUUUUGAUUUCUUAAUGAUGCCAUUCUUUGUGCAAUAAGAUGGAAUCUUAGUGUUGUUUUAAUUUUCAUUCUCUAAUGGCCAGAGAUGUUUUUUACAUGUAUUUUUUUGGCCAUUUGUAUGGCCAAAAAUGUAUGAAAAAUGUUGGCUCAAUUAAGUUGCUCAUUGGGUUUUUUAUUUGGAAAUGGGAGUGUGUGCUAAUUUUUUUUUGAGUUAUUUUUACAUUCCCAAUAUUAGUUCUCUGUAUGAGAAACAGCCGGCAAAGUUUUUUCUCACCCUGUAGGUUACUUCUUUUGUUGUUGGUUUUUUCCUUUGCCAUGCAGAAGCUUUUUAAUUUAGUAUGAUUCCAUUUGUUGAUUUUUAGUAUUAUUUAUUGUGAAAUCAGUCUUCUGUUCAGAAAGUUAUUACUCAUACCUAUGUCUUUUUAUCUUCCAACAGAUUAAGUAUUUGUGUUUUGACAUUGGUUCUUUUAUUUAUUUUGAUUUUAAUUUACUGAAUGGUGAAUGAUGAAGUUCUAGAUUGAAUCUUCUGCAUGUGAAUAGCUAGUUUUCCUAGCAACAUUUGUUAAAGAUACUAUCUUUCUUUCAGCAUAAGUUUUUGGCUGCUUGGUCAAAGAUAAGGUAACUAAAUGUACCUGUAGUUGUAUUGCUCCUGUGAUGGUGAACCUUUGAGAGCUUUCAAAACAGACAACUGGCUGUAGCAUGCAUACUAUAGGUUCAUUACUAUUGUUCAGAUGAUCUAUAUGUCUUUUUAUACUAACACCAUGCUGUUUUUAUCACUGUAGCUUUGUAGUAUACCUUGAAAUUCUUUUAAGUGUUUAGAAACAAAUUUUAAAUGACAAAGUUGUUUGGAAGAGUUAGUAAAGAUUUUUUCAACUUAAAAAAAUUUUUUUAGAAGAAAAUUUAUUUAUUUCCAUUCCUUCUUAGACUUAGGAGCAAGUGUUUAUUUUUGGGAUAAAUUGAUCACAAAUUAAAAUCUGUUAAAAGACUUCAAUUGUUGUUUCUCAUUUUGCUGUGUAAUUAAAUCAUACUAUAAAAAUUUCUACUUGAUGUUUGUAUAUUUAUGACUAUAUAACUGCAGUUCAUAAACAUUAUAUUAUGGCAUUAUUCUUUUUUGUGAUUUCUGAAACUAAUAAUUGUCUCAGUUUUUACUAUUGCUAUUAAUUUUCUGUGUACUUAUCAGUAAUUUAUUUUCAAAUUGUAUCUUCUCAUACUCUCUGAGGACCUUUAAGUACUUUAAGUCCAAACACUAGUUAUCAAUUUGUUCUUUUUAUUGAUUUAAUUCUCUUUUAAGCCCCUUAUCUUCCUUUAACAUGAAAUUGCAGUUUGGGAGUCUUAUGCAACUAUCAUCUUCAGACUUCCCUUCAACACAUUCCUGAGAAUUUACUUUUUUCUCUUCAGUAAGUGAUCUCAGUCUCCUGGAUUAUGUGUUUGGCUUUCUUGUUUUACCUCUUUAUUUGGAUGGAUCAUAUCUCCUGGUUUUCGGACACUAGUGUUUCCAGACUUUGGGUGUAUAACCAUGUUUCUAUUUCACUUUUAACCUUGAUUAAUUCUGAAGUUCUAGAUUGGAAAUAAUGUUCCCUUAAAGUUUUGAAAGGCGUUGCUGCAUUUUAUUGCUCAGCAGUAAUAUUCAUGUGAAUGCAGAUGCUAUUCUGAUUUCCAAUACUUUGAAAAUUUGUAUCUUCACAUCCUCUGCUGUUUAAAAUUUUCAUGGUGGUAUGCCUUGGUAUAGAUGUUUUUAUAAUUUUUAAAAAAAAUUUUUUUUAUUUUAAAGACAUUAAGACAAAAGAGGACAUAACAAAGCAGAUCAGAAAGAACAAUUUAAGCAACACAAUAUUUCACCACAAGAUAACCUGAUAUAAUUUAACUACCAGAAUGUCUCUUUCUUUGAAAUAGUUGAGCAUACCUCCAUAUACAAUAGUAUCAAAUACAACAAAAUAGUAUAAAACCAUUCAAGAGAAUGAAAGUAUUACAGGGCAUUUGGAACCAAAUAACAGACAAUGAACAAUGGCUACUUUAUUAUCUCUUUGUCCAUAAAAAAUUGUUUAUACUAUCACAGAUAAUAAAAUCCAAUAAGAUACAGCAUGAUAGAACCAAUGGAAACAAAAGAACAAAAGCAUGGUAGAACUUCAGAGCAAGAUGAUAUUAAAUCAGCACUGGCUGUUAUAAUGUCUUGUUUUCCUCAAAAUUCUUUUGCAUUUAUUUAAAUAUGUUCUGUGGGCUACUAUUUGGUCUAUUUUAGAGAAUGUGCCAUGUACUGCUGAAAAGAAUGUAUAUUCUGAUGUUGUUGGAUGGCACACUCUGUAUAUUUCUACCAAGUCCACUUGUUCACAUAUGUGAUUCAGUUCUGUUAUUUCUUCGCUGAUUUUCUGUCUGGUUGAUCUGUCCCUUGGUGUCAAUGAUGUGUUAAGGUCUUCUGUUAUAAUUGUGUUAUUGCUUAUUUGAUUUUUCAUUUCUGUUAAUACUUGCUUUGUAUAACUGGGUGCUCCCAAAUUGGUGCAUAUAUAUUUAAGAUUGUUAUCUCUUCCUCUUGAAGUUUUCCCCUAACCAGUAUGUAAUGACCUUCUUUAUCUCUUAGGAUCAUUCUUGGUUUGAAGUUCACAUUGUCUGCAAACAGAAUAGCUACCCCUGCUUUUUGGGGGGUUCCUGUUGCAUGAAGUAUUGUUUUCCAUCUUUCGACUUUCAGUCUGUGAGUUUCUUUCUGGGUUAUAUAGGUUUCUUGUAGACAACAUAUGGUUGAAUAUUGUUUCUUGAUCCAUUCUGCCAGUCUUAUUAUUUUAAUUGUGAAUUGAGACCAUUUACAUUGAUGGUUAUAACUGUUAUAUAUUGGUUCAUUGUUGACAUGUUAUCUUUCUGCUGUUUCAUCUUUAUCUUUCCAUUCUUUUUAAUUGUCUGCCUUGUUCAGUGGCUUUUUCUAAGUGUAUCUAAACUGUCUUUCAGUAUUCUUUGCAGGGUUGGUUUGGUGAUCAUGACGUUCUUCCACUGUUCUCUGUCAUGGAAAUAUCUUAUUUUUCCAUCCAUUUUGAAGGACAGUUUUCAGGAUACAUCAGUCUAGGUUGGAAAUCAUUUUCCUUUAGGAUCUGAAAUAUUUCACUCCAUGCUCUUCUUGACUUCAUUGUUUGUGCUGAGAAGUCUGCUGUGAUUUUGAUAGGUUUUCCUUUAUAGGUAUUCUAUCUUUUGUCUCUAACCGCUUUUAAUAUUGUAUUCUUUUGUUGGGUAACUGGGAAGGUGAUUAUUAUAUGUCUGGGUGUAGUUUUAUUUUGGUUAUGGCUAUUUGGAGUUAUAUAUGCUUCACUAACCCUAAUGUCAGUUUCCAUUCUUAUGUUUGGAAAAUUUCCAGCCAUUACUUCUGUAAAUAGCGUCUUGGUAUCAUUUGUGUUAUCCCUUCUUUUUCAUUUAUUCCUAUCAAUCUUAUGUUGUUUUUCUUUGCAUCAUCUUGCAGCUGUUGAAUUGUUAUUUCCCGAUUCUUUGUUAUUUUUAAAAGAUCUUUCCUGUUUACUAGCUGCAAUCUUGUCUUUGAGGUCUGAAAUUCUAUGUUCACUUUCAUUGAGGUGGUUUUGACAACUUUCAAUGAAAUUUUUGAUUUCCUGUGUAUCUCUCUGAAUCUGCUUCAUGUAUUGUUUGUUUCUUGUAUUGUUCAUCCAGUGAUUGUAUCUUUUUGUUUUGUUAUUGUAAUUUUUUAACUGUGUCUUCUUAGAUGUGGUUAGCAUCUCUUUUAUUACUUUUAUCAUUUCUUCUUUUACCUGGGAGAUUAUUUCUAAUUUGAGUUCCUUUAAAGUUUCCCGGAGUUGCUUCUUUAUUUCAGUUGCUAUUAUUUCAGGUGUAUGGCAUGUAUUUUUUUUUCUAUGUACAUGGCUCCUAGUCUUUCUUGGAAUGGGCUGGAGGUUUGAAAUUGCAUUUUGGUCUUUUGUUUUGUCACUUUCCUAUAUUACCAUGUUUCAAGUGAUGUUCCAAAGCUUCCUCUGGGCAUGUUGGAAAUCCUCUCCUAUUCCCUCAGCUCCUGGGACUGAAUGGAGGUUGCUGAGUGUGGUCCAGUCCAGCUCAUAGGACCUCCCAUGCCACCUCCAGUGUGUCAGGAGGCUGUUUGAGCAUUUAACUCACUGUGAAUGAUGGUCCAAAGGUCUCCCUGGGCAAGCACCAAUAUGCUGGAACUCACUUCAUGUGCCCUCAACUCCCCUGAUUAAAAAAGUCUCUGGACAUGGUCUUUUCAGGCUGCAAAACCUCCCAAGCCUAGUCUAGUGUGCCUGGAAGCUUGGCGGGUCCUUGACAACUGUGAACGAUGAUCUUAAACUCUCCAGGGAUCUGAGCUGAUUUGCAGGAACUCACCUCUGGUAGCCCUGUUCCCUGGAUUGAAGGAACGUCACUGAGCAUGGCCCAGCAGUCUGGAAACCUGCAGAGCCCAGUCUAGUGUGGCUGGAAGUUGGGCAGGUCCUUAACCCUGGGAGUGAUGAUCUUAAACUGUCCUGGGGCCCCCUGCCGCAGGUGUGCAGGAACUCAUCUCUGGCAGCCCAGGUCCCUGGAUUGAAAGAAGGUCACUGGGUGUGGCCCAGGCAAUCUGGAAACCUACAGAGCCCAGUCUAGUGUGACUGGAAGCUGGGUAGGUUCUAACCGCUGGGAGCGAUGAUCUGAAACUCUCUGCCGCUGCCGCCCCCCCCCCCACCCGGGUGCAGCAACUCACCUCCAGCAACCCAGUUUCCCAUAUUGAAUUAAGGUCACUGGUUGUUUUUAUAAUUCAUUAUAUGGAGUGUCUUCAAUCUAGAAAUACUGUUCAGUUCUGUUAUUUUUUUCUGUUUCUGAGUAAUUUUCAUUUUUCUUGUGAAAUGCCUUUGUUUGUUGGAAUUUUUAGAUUAAUCUUUUAGUGAUCUUUUUUUGAGUGGGUUCUCUUUUUUUAUUUUUUGUCCAUUUUAGGAAAUCUCCUGGUUUCAUCUUCUAACUUUUUUAUAUUUUUCUGUGUCAAGUAUUUAAUUUCCAAGAUACCCUUCUCUUCCUUAUGAUUGUGAAAUUUUCGUGAUAAUUUUGAAUUUUCUUUUGCUGUUGCUUUGUUCCUUCUUCCUUACGUUGGUUAUUGAUUUCUGACUUUUUCCUUUGUGAACUGUCUUCGUAUGUCUAGUGAUUAUAUUUGAGAGAAACACUAAAAUUGUCCUCUUAAAGUUAUGUUGGUAAGAGCAGAACCAGUCAACUAACAGAUUUCACUGGAAAAGAUGGUAGGGCACAUUUCCCUAGGGAAAGAAUUUGCUAGCUUUUUAUAGCUGUUGCUGCUUUUUUUUUUUUUUUUUUUUUUGCAUGCUUAAGUAUUAGAUGUUUUUUGCUCUGCUGAGUUAGUUACUACUUAAUUAACUUUUUUUUCUAAAUUUCACAUUUUUUUACUUCUACUGUUUGUUGUUGUCUCUCCUCCAUGCUGCUUGUCUUUAUAGGUUUAUCCUUCUGUUUGUCUUUAUUCUAGGUUUUAAAACAUUUUUAGGAAAAAUAGGGCUCAACUCAUGAAUUCUAUUUUCCUUUUUAAUAAAAGUGUUUACCUUUGAGUUUUACAUAUUGACUUGGUAAAAGGAUGAGUCUUGGUAUGAUCUAUUUAUAAAAAUUUAUGAAAUACUCCAUAUAUUUUGGGAAUUUAAAAAGUCCUUCAGUAUCGACCAAUUAUCAGUAUUCAAAAAAAUAUAGUUUAAUUUAUUCUGUCAAAUUGUAAAUGAAAGCAAUCCAAGCAGUGAAGGAAAGACUUCUGAAAGGUAUCAUAAGAAAUCAGUGCAACUAAGACAGUUUAUACCAGAAGGAUAGUUAAUAAAAACAUAAGUAAAGAAUAUUGCUCUUUCAUGUCAGUGGGUCCUUUUAUGAAAUAAUUUUCUAGAUGAUAGAGCAAAUGUAUAGCCUGCGGAUGCCACCCUUCUCAGUCUAACAUGAGAACAGUUUUAAAGUGAAGCCACUCAUAUCUCCUUGAGUCUAUGCUUGUUUGCCUUGCCAGCUCUGUCUGUGAAGGCAGGGUUGCAACUUCUUUCAUUUGGAACUCAUUUUGGUUACUUUGAAACUUGCUGCUCCUUUUUUUUGGGGGGGGGGUGUCUAAUUUGGGGAAUUUUAUUAUAGCUGUUUUGACUCUAGACCUUGAAUUAGUCCUUAUCUAGUAAUUGUGCUAACAUGCCAAAGAACAUGUUUGACAUUGGACCAUUGAAAAAUUUUAUGAAGCUAAGUUUUGAGACAAUUAAUAUCAUAUUCUUUCCCUGAUCUCAAAAUUCCAGAACUGUGAAAUUUACCAUUGAGUUGCUAUAUUAUAAGAGAAACUGUAUUUACCUUUGAUAUCCACUAUUAAUCCUUGGGCUAGUUGUGGCUCCUGCUUUUCCAUUAAGCAAAAUCUUUUAGAAAAUUCAUGAGUUAUACCAACAUCAACUUAACAUUUUUCCAAAUUUAAUUUUCUGCUGUACUACAGUUGGAGGAAAAUUAGUGGCCUAAAAUUAAAUUGAUGCUUCCAUCAACCUUUAGUAUAACUUUAAAAAAGUAAAUAGUAUACGAUAACCAUUUCAAAAUAUUAUUUUAAAGUGUUAGUGCCGUACACCUGUGCCCUUAGUAACAUUAAUAAACGUUUUAUUUUAAAAUUCUGAAAAGUAUAGAACAUUAUUACAAAUAUCGCUUUUUGAUUUUGGUUUUUAUACUUGUUACAGAAAAGUCUUGUCUGGAGAAUAUAUUUUGACAAAUUGACAUGUUGUGAUAGGUGCUAGGAUAAUUGUAUAAGUUUUUAAAGUUAAAAUUGCAAGCAGAUUUCUGCAGCAGAUUAAUCCCAAUAUAAAAAGAUUUGUGUGAAUUUCAGCAUUGAUAAGUAUGACAUAUAUUUUAUUUGGACAUUUCUCAGCAGUGAUACAAAUUUGAUGCUAGGUAAACUGUAUUAAAUGGUAAGAAAGUAUAUUAUAUUGGAUAUUAAUGGGAGACAUUUCUAAAUCUUUUGUGUGAGUUUAUUAAAUGAUAUACCUAUACUUGUUCAUGUUUACUGUACAUAUCUGGCUGAAUUGAAUAAUGACAGGGAUUUUACUAACAGUUCUUUUUUUUUAAAUUUUAUUUAAGGAGAAAAGAAAAAAAAAGCAGAGAAAGGGUACAAGUUAUACAGAUUUACAGAAAAAAAAUAAACAGUAGGAAAUCACUAGUUAAUGGAUUACAUAUUAUCAUCUUAGAAAUAAUUGUUCAAGUCACAAAAUUAAAGCUUGUAAAGUGGACAUUCCAGCAAUGAUACUGCAAACAGUUCUGUUCAAUGAUCCAAUAAAACUCUGUGAUAUCAUUUCCUAUCUUAUGCACUUAAAUAUACAUGCAGUUAUAUAGUUUAGAGCACUUUCUUUUCCUCUGUUUUGUACAAUGACUAUUACACAUUUUGGGUUUCAUUGCUCCCACAGUUCUUAUUACUUUUUUGGAAGAGAGUAAAACCAAAUGUGACAUAACAGAACAGAAUCGGUCAAGUCAAAAGGGUGGACAUAAUAGAUAAUGUAAAAACAUAAUACAAGGUGAUCAACAAUGGUUACCAUAAUGCCUCCCGCUAUCUCUAAUAGAAUUGCCUAUAUCAUUAGUUAUAAUACAAUUGAACAAAACACUAAAGAAUAAAACCGACAAAACCAAAACCUUGGAGACAUUGUAGGUCUUCAAAAGUAGAUAAAAGUCAACGAGAAUGGGCGUUAUAAUGAAUCUCAUUAUCUUCACAGCUGAUGCCUAAACGUUCGAACCUGGUACUAUCCAGCAAAACAGAAUAGGGGAACAUCAGUCAAAAACAAGAUGGUGAGAGUAAUACAGGGCUUUAAAUCGAGAUAAUGGAAAGUCAAAGUGGGUUACUAUAAUAUAACCUGCUAUUUUUUUCCUUUAAUUAAAAGGAUAAAAAUAAAAAAGUAAAUAAUGGAGUGGAGAUUGAGAUAAAAGAGGGCAUAACAGCGAAACAGUGCAGAUCAAAACAUAACCAUUUAAGCAGAAUAGUGUUUCACCACCAGAUAAUCCUGACCUAAAAGUAGUCACCAUAUUGUCUCUUUCCUUGAAAUCCUUGAGUACAACUUCGUAUACUGUAGCAUUAAGUAUAUCAAAACAAUGUAAAACCAUUUAAGAGAAUGACAGCAUUACAGAGUAUUUAGAAUCGACUAACAGAAAAUGAACAAUGGUUUCUGUAUAAUCUCCUUGUCUUUAAAAAGUUUUUGCUUAUACUAUCGUCCAUAAUAAAAUCCAAUAAGAUACAACCUAUUUAGACCAUUGGAGACAGAAGAACAAAAGCUAGAUGAGACUUCAAAACAAGAUGAUACUAAAUCAGUAUUACCUAUUAAGAUGUCAUUUUCUCCAAAAUAGAUGUUCCUAUCAUCCAAUCUUCUCUGCCUCAUUUCUGUUGAGCUCUUUUUCUGUCAGUAGCUGUCAGUUUGUCUUCUUCAUUUUGUUCUCUGCUCCAUUCGUUGUGGCCUCCCCGCCACUAUUUCUGGAUUCUUUGUAUUUUUCUUUUUUUAGAAUAUCCUGCAAUACUCUCUGUAGAGUUGAAUUGGUGGUUGCAAAUUCCCCCAGUUCCUCUUUAUCCUGGAAGCACCUUGUUUUUCCAUCAAUUUCCAGGGACAGUUGUGCAGGAUAUCUCAAUCUUGGCUGGAGAUUAUUAUCUUUCAAAGCUUGAAUUAUUUCCUCCGACGCUCUUUGUGAUUUGAUGGUUUGUGAAGAGAAAUCUGCUGUAAUUCUGAUGGGUGUUCCCUUGUAAGUGGUCUGUUUCUUGUCUCUGACAGCUUUUAAUAUUCUGUUCUUGUACUGAAUUUCUGGAAUUUUUAUUAUUAUAUGCCUGGGUGUUGCUCUGUUUGGGUUGUAGGUAGCUGGGGUCCUGUAUGCCUCAUACAUCUGAGUAUCUUUACCUUUGGCUAAAUUAGGAAAAUUCUCCUGGAUUAUUUCUGUGAGUAGCUUUUGUAGUUCACUUGUUUGUGUCCCUACUUCUUCUUUUAUAUUCUUAAUCCUUAAGUUAUGGCUCCUCUUAUCAUCUUCUUGUCUUUGUAUUAUUGCUGUUUGUUUCUUUGUUAUUUUUAAGAAGUUUUUCAUUUCAUUCUCCCAUAUUACAAGUCUGCCCUCCAGUUCAGAUAGUCUGUCCUUAGUUUCUUUCAAGCUGUUAUGCAAGUCUUCGAUAGACUUCUUAGUUUCUUGGUAGUCCCUUUGAACCUGCUUCACGUAUUCUAUGCUUUCUCGGUUUUUUUUUUUUUUUUUAUUUAAGAGGAAAAAGAGAAAAAACACAAAACAAACCAAAGCGGUGUAAGGGUACACGUAAUACAGAACUACAAAAAAACAAAACAAAACAAACAAACAAAAAAAAACAUAACAGUAAGAAAUCACCUGUUAGUAUAUUACAUAUUAUCAUCUUGAAAAUAGUUCCUCAAAUCACAGUAUUAAAGAAUACAAGGUGGACAUUCAAACAGGUAGACUGCAAACAGCUGUGUUCAAUGAUCCAAAAACAUUGAUACAGUCAGCUAUUUAACACCCCUAAACACACUUGCUGUUAUAAUCCCUUAGAGCUCUUUCUUUUUUUUUUUUUUCCCCUCUCUUUUUUACAACAAAAUUCACACACUUUGGAUUUCAUUACUCCUUAGUGCUUAUUACUUUUUUUUUGGGGGGGGGGGAGAAGCUUUCUCGGUUUUCUCCAUCAAACAAUUCUCCCCUCUUUUUCUGUUCUUCCAUUCCACCAUCUGUUUUUUCUUGGGUGGUGCUUAGCAUUUCUCUAACUAUUUUGCAUACUUCUAGCUUCAGGUCAUUGAUAACUUCAUUCCUGAAUUGAUCUAUGAGGCUCUCUAUAUGGCACUUUAUGUCUAUUGGUGCGGUGUCCGCUAUUGCCUGUUUCUCAGAAUUGGGGGCCGAGGAGCCUUUCUUGUUGCUGCCUCUUCCCAUAUUCUCUGUUCCUUAUAUAUGCAAGCUUGUAUAGGAGACCCAGCUUCUCUCCCUGUCAGCCACAGGCUGAUCGAAUUGCGCCGGCUAGGUGUUCCCGCCCACCACAGCGCACCAGGGAGUUACGGACCAGGCAGCCUACGGAGGGCCCGCCCCUCCCGGCCACCGUCAGGCUCUGGGAUCUGGGUUGGGCCAGCCUACCGGGUCUGCCAGCAGUGUCACGCAGGCCAGGCACUUUUCACCAAUCCCGCCCGAGAGGGGUAUGUGUGACUGGAGUCGCCACCGCGCCCUGCUCCCGCAGGACUGCCCAGGUCCAGAAAGUCCUCCGCCGGAGUCAAACUGUGGUAGAGUGUCAGUUUCUCUCACUCACCUCACCACAAGUCAGUGCACGCCUCCAUGCCCAUCCUGUUUUGGACUCUGUUCACAGAUUCCCGUUCUCAGAGCUUCCGCGCGUCUCUCUCCUUGCCGAGCCGCUGUAGAGGCAGUCGCCGCGCGGCGGGAAACCCAAAUCGCGGCUUCCAAUGGCGCGGGGUCCAGCCUCCACACUGAGGCUUUUCUGUUCCUGUUUUAGCACCAGGACUGCAUUCCAAGUUGGUUUCUCUCAGCCCAGUUUGUUCCUGAGUCAGCAGAGCAUAUCUCCACCUGCUUAUGUCUCCUUACUCCGCACCCUUCCUGACUUCUGAACCAAGCCAUUCAGAGAUCCUCCGUAGUAUCUGUUAUCUGUCCGCCAUGUUCUCCCGGCUAACAGUUUGUUCUUUCUGUUCAACACAACUUUUCUUUCUUUCUUUUUUUUUUUUUUUUUUUUUUUGGUUUUUUUGAGACAGAGUCUUGCUAUGCAGUUCAGGCUGCCCUUGAGCUAACUUUGUGACCCAGGCUGGUCUCAAACUCAUAAUGAUCCUCCUACUUCAACCUCUUGAGUGCUGGGAUUAUAGGCAUAAACCACCAGGCCUGGCUACAAUACAACUUUAAAAUACAACAUUUGAUUAUUAUCAAGGAGCAUUUAUAGUGAUAUUGUAAAUAGUUUAAAACAAAUCUAUAUCAAUUAUCCCUGCCAAAUAAGACUUUAAAAUGCAGACUACAGGAUGCUAGUUGAAAAUAUGCACUUAAGUGCAGUGAUUUUUUUUUAAACAUGUACAUACUAAAAUUUACUGUUUUAAAAUUAUCUAUUCUGACAAGAGAUUACAAAAAAUUUAUGAUUAAAUAAUGGGAUGAAGAGUUCUUGUCAGUACAGAAAUUAAAAACAGGAAUCACUAGUGCUCUUUCACUGCAUGUUUGAACCAUUGUUGACUUUUGGAAAACAACAAUAACAGUGUUUACUUUUUACUGGGAAAUUUAGCAUUCAACAAUUAUGAAUUGAAAUCCAGGUAUCAGAAAUUUUGAAAGCUCCCUAGGAUUGUGGUAUAGUUAGAAUGAUACUGAUUGACCUAUGUGUUCUAGGAUAGGGCCCAGACAUGACCAAACACUACUAAAUACUUGCUUAAAUUAAAAAGUGAAGGAUUGCCUCAAUUUUAUUUUUCUUUAAAUUAACUUUUUCUUUUGAAUAGUUUUACAUUUACAGAACAAUUGCAAAAAUAGUAGUUUCCAUAUAUUGUACAUGACAUUCAGUUUUCCCUAUUGUUGAUUUAUUAGUAUGGUACAUUUGUCCUAUUAAAAAACUGGUUUUGAUAGAUUGUAAAGUCCCAAUGCUACACAGAUUUUCUUAGCUUUUACUUAAUGCCCUUUUUCUGUUUCAGAAUUUUCUAGGAUACCACACUACGUUUAGCUGUCAUGCACUCAUAGACUCCUCUUGAUGUCGCAAGUUUUCACAUGGUCUGUUUUUGAUGACCUAGAGAGUUGAACACUGGUUAGAUAUUUUGUAGAAUGUCUCUUAUUUGACAUUUGGCUGGUUGUUGUAGUUGUUAUUUUUCUUACAGUGAGAGUGGGAUUUGUUUGUUUUGGGGGAGAAGACACAGAGAGGAAGUUCAUCCAAUCAUAUUAAAAUAUUUUGUUUGAAAAUGAUUUUUCACUGUUGAUGUUAACCAUGAUCACCUAGCUGAGAUAUUUUUAAAUGGUAACUUUACUGUUUUCAUUUUUCCAUACGGUGUAUAAUCAUAGAGAAAAUCAUAGAAAUCAUAGCCCACACUUAAGUAAUGGCAAAAGAGUAUCAUAAUUUUUUUAGAAUUCUACACAGGAGGUUGUCUGAUUGACUGAUUUAUUAUUUAGUCACUUGUAUCAAUAUAGACUUUUUUCGCCUCAGAUUUUUCAGAUUUGGCCAAUGGUUUAUCUCUUUCAGUUCAUACCUUUGUCUCUGUUUUUGUUUUCUUUUUUUACAUACCUCCUUACUGUAAGAUAUUUAAGGUUCAUCUUGUAUAUUUCCUGCUUUAGAUCUAGAAUUUGGCAUUUAGUUCUUUUACUGGAGUCUUGUAUUAAAAACCAAGAUUGGACCCUAAGUGUACUUGUUGCCUCUGCAUUAGGUUAUUGCCUCUAUUGCUGUCAGUUUAGCAAGGAGACCUAUGUGUUUAUACUAACUUAAUAUGUACAUACACAUGAAUGUGCAUAUGUAUUCAUCUGUAUGUUUAAUAAGCUAAGUAUGACUUCAUACUGAUGUUUCUGACUCUCCUUCCUUACCACCAUAGAUCAUUCUAGCUGUUUCCUUUUGUUUCUUUAUAACCUGAAAAACUCAGCUCCUACCCUAUCAUUUACUGCAUUUUCUUCAGAAUUACUAGCUCAUAUAUCCAUAGGGAACAGCAUUAUUCACUACUUGGGAUUUAUUGUUUGUUUUUGUCUCGAUUUUUAAAAAAAUUCUUUUUAUAUUUUGGAUACAAGAUCCUUCUAAGCAUGUGCUUGGCCAAUAUUUUCUCCCAGUUUAUUUCUUGUCUUUUUCCAGUUUAUGUCUUUUCUUUUAGAACAGAAGAUUUUAGUGUAACUUAUAAGCUACUUUUUUAAUGGGUCAUUCUUCAGGUGUCUGUAAUCAUCGCCAAAUUCAAGAGUAUACAGAUUUUUCUUCUAUGCUUUCUUCUGGAAAUUUGGUUUUGUAUGCUAUAUUAAGGUCUGUGACAUAUUUUGAAUUAGUUUUUGUGAAAACUUUAAAAUGUGUAGCCUGGCCUGACCUCCCCUCCCCUUCUGUUAAUAAAUGUCUAGUUGUUUCAGCACCUUUGUGUAAAAAACCUUUUGCCUGUCCAUAUAAUCAUUUGUAUUAUUUUUGUCAGUAUUUGCUAAUUAGCUUAUUGCAAUUCUAUUGGGGUGGAACUUGUUAGAACAAAAUGCCAUCUUACUGGUAUUUCGUUUUCCAAUCUGUUAACAGGUAAUGGUGCUUAUUUUGUUUAGAUUUUCCUUUAUCAGAUCCUAUGCAUAUUCUUAUAUGUUAGACUAAAGUGUGUAAUUUUUGGUGCUGUUGAAAAACUUUUUUAAAAAUUCUACUCCCAGUUAUUUAUUACUGGCAUAUAUUACAGCAGUUGACUAUUAUAUGUAACCUUUCUAAUUGUUUCUUUACCGUACUCAUGUGUUACUCCCAGGACAUUUUUUGUAAAUUCUUGAAAAUUUUUAUACAAAGGAAUAUCAUCUAAACUAUAGGUCCAUUUCUUCCUGUGUAGUAAUCAUUAAUAUAUUUCUGUAUCUUCACUAUAUUUCUCUUCCUUUCUUCUCUCCUUCCUUUCUUUCUUCAACAGGAUCUCAUUAUGUUGUCCAGGGCGGUCUCAAAAUCCUGGACUCACAUGAUCUUUCAGGUAGCUAGGACUGUGGAGGAGCACCAGUAUGCUCAGCUCUCGAUACGUUUCUGUUUCAGAGGAUGUAUUUUUCUUCUGUUCAUAAAUAUUGGUGUAGAAGAAAGAUAAGAUAUGGUAUUUACCUGCAAGAAGAUUCCAUGCUAGUGAGGCAACAAGUAAAUGGUUGCCAGUCUUGAUUCAACAUAACAAACACUAUGAUUAUCUCAAGACAUACAUAGAGCAAUGAUAGCCAACCUUUUAUAGCUUUCAGUAAUACAACCAGUACCCUGGAGCAUGCAUGCCAUAGGUUUACCGACACUGGCAUGCAGAACAAGAAUCGUUUUAUUGCUUUAUUUUCUAACUUUUCACCUCUCUUCAGAAGACCCCUUUUCUGCUUCAUUCUUCAGUCAACCACAUUGUCCUUUUUACGGCUUUCCCCUUAGGAAAUAUAUUUCUCUUUUGGCCACUGAAUUAUUAAAAAAACUCAACAAAUCAUUCACAACCAAACUUUUUGAUACAACAGUUAAUUAAGCCUUUGUUCUUUCACUUUGCAUACACAGUUGCCAUCUCUUAUAUACCUGAAAUACUCUCCAUCGGCACUGUCUGCAUGGUGACGUUGUGAGUAGGAUGAGAUUUACUUUUUUUUUUAAUUUAAAGAAAGAUUAAACUAAACAGAAAAUAGGUAGAAAUAGUACAUACAUUCAGAGAAAAAAAAGAGUAAGAAAUCACUAGUUGAUGUUGUCGUUUUACAAAUAGUUGUUCAAGGUACAAAAAUGGAACAUGUAAAGUGGGAAUUCAAACAGCGAGACUGCAAACAGUUCUGUUCAACUGUCCAACAAAAACUUGGUAACAUGGUUGUCAAUCCUAUACAUUUAAACAUACAUGCAGUUAUCCAUAUCUUCAUUUAUAUUUAGAUUAAACAAACUAAAGCAGGUUAAAAUCAUUUUGAACAACGAAUAAUAGUAUCGUUGGAUUUCACUUCAUGACACUCCAUGAUCAGCACUGGGUACUAUAGUGUCUUCUUUUUAAAACUGAAUUUAAAGAAAGACUAAAAACAACAGAAAACGGGUAGAAAUAAUACGUAAUUUCAAAGAAAAAUAAACAGUAAGAAAUCACUAGUUGAUGAUUACAGAUUGUCUUCUUACAAAUAGUUAUUUAAGAUACUAAAUUGGAGCAUAUAAAGUGGGGAUUCAAACAGUGAGAUUGCAACCAGUACUGUUCAACUAUCCAACAAAAAUUAGAAAUAUGGUUAUCAGUCCUCUACACUGAAACACCUAUGCAGUUACCCAUAUCCUCAAUUACGUUGAAUUUCAAUAAACCCAAGCAGGCUAAUAUCACUCUGAACAAAAAAAUAACACUAUUGCUGGGUUUCACAUUAUGACACUCCAGGAUCAGCACUGGGUAUUUUAGUGUCUCUUUUUCUUCAAAGCAUCUGUUCAUUUCAUCAAUUGUCAUAAGAUCAGUUCUCAUAACUGUUUAUAAAUUCUACACAUGCAUGGGUCUUAACAUGUAUUUUUUUUUUUAAUUUUGAAAGUAGCAAAUAUGCCACAGUGCAAGACAGAACAAAGCCAAUCGAGACAAUGCAGUGAAAUUGGUACAGGAUUUCACAGUAGGAUACAGGGAUAGUAGUACUAAGUACUAUGGUAUAUCUCUUUAAUUUAACAAUAGCUAUCCAGUCAAUUACAUAUUAUAAAAUCAAACCAAAAACAGAACAUUGUAAAACCAAUUGAGAAUAUUGAGUAGAGCAAAAGAAAUAUAACAAAAAGUAAAAACAACCUAUACCUUCAAACAGAAGAUAGAAAGAAAUCCCCCAUAUUUGCUAUACUGCAUAUGGUCAUCCUCCCAAGAGAUGUUGAAAUAUCUAUCCCCAGUAGGUAAGGGGGGAGGGGUAGGUGGGAGAAGGGUGCUUGAUUUUCAGCUCACGUGGAAGUUGACUCACAGGUAAUGGUUCUCCAGGCCCAAGCUGCAGGUGCUUAUCAAGAGGGCAGGUGAAUAAGCUGCCUGAGACCCUCCAUGGCCGGAGCUCUGGAGCUCUGUUCUCCUUCUGGCCUGCGUUGCAGACGUUUACCAAGAGGGCGGGUGAAUAAGCUGCCUGAAUCCCUCCAUGGCCAGAACUCUCUAGGAUGAGAUUUACUUUAACAGUGAUUUAAUUUGAGGAGUCUGUCAUUCAGGUCACUCUGUGUAACAGGCAGUUUAAUAUGUAGAUCUGAAUUGCAAGGGAGAACUCUAUCAGUAUUUUUUGCAGUUAGUGGUUUAAAAAGAGAGCUUAGGAGAUUACUCAGAAAAUUAUAGAGGAAAGCCUGUGUGACUUCUCUUUCCUGGAUGUUGUAACCUUUCAUGAUGUCUUCCAGGCUGCAGCUGGGCCAGUAUUCCUGUGAACGCCCAUGCUGUGCUCCUUCAGCUCUUUGAGAAUAUUUAUCUCACUGUCUGUACCUAGUUUUUAACCUUCCUUAUUGAACUAUACAUGUCUCAAGGACAAAGACUGUAUCUUAGCACACUGGCACAUAGCAUUUAAUAUAAAAAUAUUAAUUUGGUAAAUAUGAGUCAAGCAAAGAUGGUGGAUAAAUAACAGCAGGCUACAGAGGCUCCCUGAGAUAGUCAACUUAGAAUUCAAUAUAAUACAGUGUGGGGAGUCCCGAACAGAGGGAGAUGAAUUCUCUCGUCCCAAGAAAAACUAAGGUGAGAAGAAGCAAUCAAACAAAGUCCCUGUGCCUACUACUGGAACAGCUAAAGGUUCAGUGCUUCUGCUGCAGUGCCCAAACUCGUGUGGCAGUGACUUACCGAGCCAUCCAAAAUCCUGCCACUUAAAAUCACUGGAAACGCAGUCACUCUGAGGUCGGGGGUCGGCAAGCCAAAUGGAGAACUAAGGUAGCAAGACUUCAGUCAGUUGUUCCCUUCCCGAACGGGAUUGGUGGAAUGAGCUUGGUCUGGGUCAUUCGACCUGGCUGAGACCCAAUAGGUUAUCUGAAAUGAAUUCCCUACAGCAGUGGCACACACUAACACAGUGAAGGCCUCAGCAGGUUGACUGAUCUGAAGGGGAGGGCCCAGCAUAUGCUGCCCCUGUUUGCAACUCACUAGCACACUGCAGUGGGAGGGGUCACCUAGCCACUGUGCUUCAGAAGAGUUGUAACCAACAAAGAAAGAAACUGGGGCCUCCUGGAAGAAACAAAAAAGAUGGGAAGAGGAAGCAACAAGAAAAUGUUCCCAGGUCCCAACCCUGAGAACAUUGACCCAGGACAGGUAAAUACAAAGGAGAAUGAGGACAGCAAACAUGCAGUAUCAGACACAGCACCAGUGGACAUAAAGAGAUAUCUUCAGGACCUCAUAGAUGAGUUAAAAAGGGAAAUAUUUAGCCAAGUAAAGCAAGAUAUAAGAAGAUUAAUAAAAGAGUUGCUAAGCACCCCUCAAGAAGACAGAGAUGGAAGAAUGGAGAAACUCAAACAAAAGAGAACCAUUUGAUGAAGAAUAUAAAGAAAAUAUAGAGUACAUGAAGCAGAUUCAAAAAGAUUACUAGGAAAUUAAAAACUCUAUGGAAAGAUACAAAACUGUUUGAAAGAAACUAAGGAUAGAUUUUCCAAACUGGAGGACAGGUUUGCAGUGUGGGAUUAUGAAAAGAAAAACUUUUUAAAAAUAACAAGGAAACAAGAGGAUCUAUAACUAAAUGUGAAUGAAGAAGCAGGGGUACAAACAAAGGAACUACAAAGGUUAUUCACAGAAAUAAUUAAGGAAAACUUCCCAAACAUAGGAAAAGGAAAUGAUAUUCAGAUAUAUGAGGCAUACAGAACUCUAGCCAGCUACAACCAAAACAGAGCUACAUCCAGGCAUGUAAUAAUCAAAAUCCCAGAAAUUCAAUAUAAGAACAGAAUAUUAAAAGCUGUUAGAGACAAGAAACAGAUCACCUAUAAAGGAAGGCCCAUCAGAAUCACAGCAGACUUCUCGAUACAAACCGUUAAGUCAAGAAAGGCCUGGAGCAAAAUAUUCCAAGCCCUGAAAGAAAAUAACCUCCAGCCCAGAUUGAUAUACCCUGAAAAACUGUCUCUAGAAAUUAAGAAACAAGAGAAACACGAUGCUUCCAAGACAAAGAGGAACUUGGGAAAUUUGCGACCACCAAUCCAGCUCUACAGAGAAUACUGCAUGACAUGCUAGAGAGAGAGAGAAGUACUAGGAUUCCAGGAAGAGUGGCAGAGAGGCCUCAACGAAUGGAGCAGAAAACAGAAUGAAGAAGAAAA